UGGGCGCCUUCCAUUGUGAGCUGUGUUCUUUUGAUGAGCCACUUAAACUUGAAUAGUCCCUUCAAGAUAUGCGGGCAAAAUACCUUCUGGGCAUUACCACAGGAGAAAACGUAUUUGAAAUACAGGUGAAAUCCUGACCCCCCACUGAAAUUAAACUGUCAAGACAUUGAUCAUAAAGCAAGAAGAGGAGAAACUGUGCUCGGAGAGAGUGGAAUGUGAUCUUGGUAUUUCAGGCUAAAGUGUAAAAGAAACCAACAUAAAAUUACUGGCUGUAAAAGACUAAAAUGUUGGAAAGGGGGUUAUACACCAGAACGGUUUGUUGGUGUGAAACCUUUGCAGCUAGCUUUCAAAACUGCUUCUUCACUUUACUCUACUCAGUCAUUUCUACAGAAGGUUUAACUAUUCUAUUUAAAUAAAAAAGAUGGCCAACAUUCUUCAGCUUUAGGUACAAUGUUCUUAAUUAUUUGUACAAUAGUUGCACCCGGAGGCUCAAACCAAGAUCAGGGCCUCAUGACACUAGGCUCUG